AUCUGGUUCUUUUCAUCCUCACUGCCUCUUCGCCUUUACCUUUCUAAAAUGUCUCCUGCUGCAAAACUCAGUUGAAGCCAAUUGCCAGGUCCAGCCUUGCAGCCCUGCUGCAGCCUCCUGAAGCCGGGAGCGGCCAAGGCUCCCAGCCGUCAGCAGAGGAGACUUCUGGUCAGUGCCUUCCUUUUAGACCUAUCACUGACUAAUGUUUUGAAGACUGGAUUGUUAUUUUAAAAAUAAUAUAUACAUGGCAAGGAGCAGAAUGGUAUUAUUGUCUGCCAUGUAACACAAGUAUACCUUCCUGGGAGGAGGGAAAGCUGAUCGGUUUGUGCGCAUUUCAGCUUUAUGUCGGCACGGACUACCCAGCUAACAGGAGUUGUUUUAAUCUGAUCUGUUUUAUCUGUGGUACACAAAGUAACAGAUGUGUAAGUCUAAUACAGUAAAUUGCUGUAAGUAUUAUGACACUGUGGAAAUAUUUCAUAGCAGCACUAGAAAAAAAAAAACAUUUAAUUUUCUGAUUUCUUGCGGAAUAUGGAAUGGAAAAUAUGUUGAUUUAACUCUAAAAAAAUGCACAGUCGAUUUAAGGGGGAAAAAAUAGUAAGUAAGAAAGAAACCCUUUACCAUAUCUAAUUUCAUUAGUAAACUGUAAAUGGAAAAUGAUGAAGAGGUAAGAUUUCAAAGGGCUGGUAACCCACACAUUUUAUGUAGCAUUAAUCAUGUGCUCUUAAUUUUUCUGCAGCAGAACUCUGCAGCACUGUGUUCCUGCUCUGUGAUUCACGGGGCGGUGGGCGAUGGUGAGCAGCAGAGCCUGGCUGGGACCCCCCCGGCAGUGACAUGGGGGAUGCCGCGCAGCCAGCCCCAUCCACAGGAUGAGAUUUAUGGCCACGUGCCGGAGGUUUCGUGCCUCUGCUCAGAAGUGACAUUUGCGGCACGCUUCUGGGCAGUGUUGCUUCUCCAGCGUUGACCCCAGCUGAGGCAAGGGACAUACACAGGUGCACAGGGAUGAGAGCAUUCACUUGAGCAAACUCCCAUGUAAGUUUCAGAAACUUGCUUGCUCAAAGGAGUUAUAAUGCCCUGCUUGGGGUUUUUUGGGGUGUGUGGGUGUGGGGGGAUUAUGUUUGUUCACUGAAUGAAAUGGCAAACUUUGGUUUACAGAACUCUGUAAGGUGCAAGGAGCGCCAGUGCUGGUUUGCCUCUCAUCACUGCCAGUUGGAUAUUGAUACAUUUAAAAGCUAUAAGUACACUUUUUAACCAGUGCUUUUUAAAGAUCUUUUGAAGGUCUUUUCCAGCUGCUCUGCUGGUACCUUGUCUUAGCACAAACCACACACCAAGCACACAAGUCCAUCAGGGCUAUUAAGCAUAAAGAUGCAGACACAGCUUCUGCCUGCGGCGGCCGAGAGGCACACACUGCUGGGGACGGGGAGGCCAUGCCAUGCCAUUGUCCUGCUCUCACUCCCUUUCCACGAGCAUCCCCUAUGGCCACUGCACAAUCAAGGUGCAACCACCAAGGAACCUGGCUGCGAUGCUGGUUUAGUUGAUCUUCAAGAAAGAAAAUGCUCCUUCUGCACAGAGUCAGGUCUCAGUUGUACCAACACAUAAGCACACAGACUCAGUCUGAGGUCAAGGAAUUGGCGCUGGUAUAACAGAAAUGUGAUUUUAAGAAACUUGCUCCCAAUUACCCCUUUCCUUCCCCUUUCAGGGUAUCAUUUCCAGCAGAAAAAUACCAUGUAGCAUCCAUCUUUGUCCACAUAAUUGCGGGGUGUCUGUCAGCACGGUGUAAUCAUGUGUAUGCAUAUGACAUAGAAGCAAUUAGUUUACAGUAUCCAAACGAAAUAGCCAAAGAGAGAUUUUCCUGCUGUAUUAUGUGACUAUCUUGUAUAAUUUCUAUUAUGUAAGUUAUGGGAAUAAAAGCAAGAUUAAAAAAAUAUCAACUAGAAUACAGUUAGCACCAAUUCUGGAGAGACUGGAAGGAGCAGAUACCCCACUGCCUUGCCACUUUCCUACUUAUUAGCCUUAUCAAAACGUUUUCCCCCAGGUAAUCAUAAUUUCAGGACAAAUUAUAAACUGUGAUACUUUACAUCUGCAAAGGAAAUGGAGCUUUGUGAACGCCUCCCUGUGCUGAUCCUCCCUCCAGGUCGUGCCCAGGUGCCAUUGGUGCCCGGGGCAGCGGCUGGUGGGGCCAGACCACAACUCCUGGAGAUGUCCAGAGAUGGCAUGGGAAUGGGAGAACAGCAGUUGAUGAGCUGCCUACUUGUGAAGAGGUGGUUUUAUGCCUAUCAGGAGCACACAGUGUGUUAGAUUCAGUUGUCUUAAGCCUGGUGCAGGCUCUCCUCUGCUUUAAAGUGCAGAAGGUAAAGCACUUUAAGAAAGUUUUUCUUUGGUAUGUCAUUCGUGGUUUCUCUUAGGGGCUCUAAGGUAGAGAGAUGAACUUCAAGAGGUCUGAGGCUUGGAGCAGCCCUGCAAAGCCUUGGGUGAAGGCAAACAUUGCCUUCUCCUCAGAGAUUACUGGUUUGGGACAGCUACAGGCACUGGCAGUUGCUGGGUGUCAGUCUGCACCCCUGGGGCAGGGUUUCCA
rnacentral:lncRNA from 1 species